UGGCUGACUGACUGACUGACUGACUGGGUGACUGGAUGACAGAGUUUAGGUAUGGACUGACUGACUGACUGACUGACUGGGUGACUGGAUGACAGAGUUUAGGUCUGGACUGACUGACUGGGUGACUGACUGGAUGGAUGGAUGGCAGAGUUUAGGUCUGGACUGACUGGAUGGGUGACUGGAUGGCAGAGUUUAGGUCUGGACUGACUGACUGACUGACUGACUGACUGACUGGGUGACUGGAUGACAGAGUUUAGGUCUGGACUGACUGACUGACUGACUGGGUGACUGGAUGACAGAGUUUAGGUCUGGACUGACUGACUGAGUGACUGACUGGAUGGAUGGAUGGCAG
ensembl:lncRNA